AUCAAGAGCUUCCCGGCCCUCACGGAGCUUGUCCUUGCCGCCAGGGACCAGGCAGCUGCAGAGCAGCCCUAGGCGUCCUGGAGUGGGGAAAAAAGCAACCCUUGUCCUCCGAGUCACCUAGCAACAGCCUGCACCGCUGCCCACGUGUGGGGCCGUCUUUCACCCAGAAAGAACCAAAGCUUUUCCAUCGUAUGGAAGGAUGGCAGUCCUCCUAUACAGAGUGCCAGCUCCUGGCUCUCACCCCAGUGUCCAAACAAACCCACACCCCAGGAGGCUGCUGCUCAUCAUUUAUUCUCAGUUAGCGCCAUCUCCAAGGAGACGGCCUCUGCCUUGCUGGAAGGAGUGACGGGAAGCCAGGGGUGAAGGCACUGAUUUUUGCCCAGGAUAGCUCUCUGACGCUGGCCUUGUCUCCAUGGCUACACAGGAGGCAUCACACCACAUUUUGGGGGUUAUCCACUCUGCCCAGAAAGUGCAGCGCACCUGAGUCCCGCUCGUAGAUGGCGAACAGGAACGGACUGCUCAGGGUCACGUCCAGCACCUCGGGUGAGCCAGGCUGCUGGGCAGACUCUGUGGGCUGCUCCUCCUCGCCUGCUUGGAGUUCAAGGAGGAUGCUGUUGAGAACCUGCAAAGCAGAGACAUCUCUCCUUCAGGAGGGAUUACAGGACAGGGACUGGGCUCAACUGCCCCGAGGGGGGACGCUGUCCAGCCUGCCAGAAGGCAAUGUGUACACACUGUCCUCUACGUGGGGGCUGCGCACCGAACACUCUCACCCAGGGGCACGCGUGUCACGGAGAAGUUGUUCUGGGCGUCACUCCAGUGCUGGAAGUUGCCAGUGCCCGAGAGCAUGGGCACAGACACUGAGGUGCUGUUGUCCACCCAGAACUCAUGGAGCCCAGUCAGCUGGGAGAAGCCUCUCAUCUUCCCUGAAAGCAACAGAGACCAAAGGAAACUCAACGGGGGUAGGAUGGGGAGGCAGGGCUGGGACUCUUCCACCCUGGCUCCUGCCUCAGCUUCCUCACCUCUACUCCCUCUGUGAUGCUGUACUGACCUGGAGAUGUCACCUUCAGGUGCUCUCUGAUGCUACUUCUAAUUGUAGCCACUUGAGUUCCCUGCAGAGACCCCAAGAGCAGCAAAAAACACAGCCCAUGUUGGUGUGGAGUCUGAGGUCUCACAUGGGACACCCGAGGGACUCAGUCUGCUCCUACCUGAACAGACAAGCUCAACCCAGACCUGUUCUGGUUUGCAAACUCACUCUUUAGAACCUCAGACAUUAUUAUGGUCUGGAGAGAUGGCUCCAUGGUAACUUGGCUCUAUAGGCCUGAUGACCUGCACCUACAGCCCCAGUCCCUCGUAAGAGCCAGGCAUUGGGCUGGAGAAAUGACUCAGCGGUUAGGAGCACUGACUGCUCUUCCAGAGGUCCUGAGUUCAAAUCCCAGCAACCACAUGGUGGUUCACAACCAUCUGUAAUGGGAACUGAUGCCCCCUUCUGGUGUGCAAGUGUACCUGCAGGCAGAACUCUAUACAUAAUAAAUAAAUGAAGAAAAAAGAAAUGAGAAAUGUG
rnacentral:lncRNA from 1 species